rnacentral:rRNA from 1 species
UAGGGAAUCUUCGGCAAUGGGGGGAACCCUGACCGAGCAACGCCGCGUGAGUGAAGAAGGUUUUCGGAUCGUAAAGCUCUGUUGUUAAGGAAGAACGAGUGUGAGAAUGGAAAGUUCAUACUGUGACGGUACUUAACCAGAAAGGGACGGCUAACUACGUGCCAGCAGCCGCGGUAAUAAGUAGGUCCCGAGCGUUGUCCGGAUUUAUUGGGCGUAAAGCGUGCGCAGGCGGUUAGAUACGUCUGAAGUUAAAGGCAGUGGCUCAACCAUUGUAGGCUUUGGAUACUGUUUAACUUGAGUGCAGAAGGGGAGAGUGGAAUUCCAUGUGUAGCGGUGAAUUGCGUAGAUAGAUGGAGGAACACCGGUGGCGAAAGCGGCUCUCUGGUCUGUAACUGACGCUGAGGCUCGAAAGCGUGGGGAGCGAACAGG